GAAGAGUUUGAUCAUGGCUCAGAUUGAACGCUGGCGGCAGGCCUAACACAUGCAAGUCGAACGGUAACAGGAAGCAGCUUGCUGCUUUGCUGACGAGUGGCGGACGGGUGAGUAAUGUCUGGGAAACUGCCUGAUGGAGGGGGAUAACUACUGGAAACGGUGGCUAAUACCGCAUAACGUCGCAAGACCAAAGAGGGGGACCUUCGGGCCUCUUGCCAUCAGAUGUGCCCAGAUGGGAUUAGCUUGUUGGUGAGGUAACGGCUCACCAAGGCGACGAUCCCUAGCUGGUCUGAGAGGAUGACCAGCCACACUGGAACUGAGACACGGUCCAGACUCCUACGGGAGGCAGCAGUGGGGAAUAUUGCACAAUGGGCGCAAGCCUGAUGCAGCCAUGCCGCGUGUAUGAAGAAGGCCUUCGGGUUGUAAAGUACUUUCAGCGGGGAGGAAGGUGUUGUGGUUAAUAACCGCAGCAAUUGACGUUACCCGCAGAAGAAGCACCGGCUAACUCCGUGCCAGCAGCCGCGGUAAUACGGAGGGUGCAAGCGUUAAUCGGAAUUACUGGGCGUAAAGCGCACGCAGGCGGUCUGUCAAGUCGG
rnacentral:rRNA from 1 species